rnacentral:rRNA from 1 species
CGGGAUAACCCGGAGAAAUCCGGCCUAAUACCGCAUGUGGCCGAGGGGAGGCAUCUUCUUUCGGCCAAAGGAGGCGACUCCGGAGACGGAUGGGCAUGCGUGACAUUAGCUUGUUGGCGGGGUAACGGCCCACCAAGGCGACGAUGUCUAGGGGUUCUGAGAGGAAGGUCCCCCACACUGGUACUGAGACACGGACCAGACUCCUACGGGAGGCAGCAGUGAGGAAUAUUGGUCAAUGGGCGAGAGCCUGAACCAGCCAAGUCGCGUGAAGGAUGACGGCCCUACGGGUUGUAAACUUCUUUUGUCAGGGAGCAAUUGGGUCCACGUGUGGGCUUAGCGAGAGUACCUGAAGAAAAAGCAUCGGCUAACUCCGUGCCAGCAGCCGCGGUAAUACGGAGGAUGCGAGCGUUAUCCGGAUUUAUUGGGUUUAAAGGGUGCGUAGGCGGAAUAUCAAGUCAGCGGUAAAAAUUCGGGGCUCAACCCCGUCGUGCCGUUGAAACUGAUGUUCUUGAGUGGGCGAGAAGUAUGCGGAAUGCGUGGUGUAGCGGUGAAAUGCAUAGAUACCACGCAGAACUCCGAUUGCGAAGGCAGCAUACCGGCGCCCAACUGACGCUGAAGCACGAAAGCGUGGGUAUCGAACAGGAUUAGAUACCCUGGUAGUCCACGCAGUAAACGAUGAA